rnacentral:rRNA from 1 species
UACGUAGGGGGCAAGCGUUGUCCGGAUUUAUUGGGCGUAAAGAGCUCGUAGGCGGUUUGUCGCGUCUGCUGUGAAAACCUAAGGCUCAACCUUGGGCUUGCAGUGGGUACGGGCAGACUAGAGUGCGGUAGGGGUGACUGGAAUUCCUGGUGUAGCGGUGGAAUGCGCAGAUAUCAGGAGGAACACCGAUGGCGAAGGCAGGUCACUGGGCCGCAACUGACGCUGGAGGAGCGAAAGCAUGGGAGCGAACAGG